rnacentral:rRNA from 1 species
CCUACGGGAGGCAGCAGUGAGGAAUAUUGGUCAAUGGGCGAGAGCCUGAACCAGCCAAGUCGCGUGAGGGAGUACUGCCCUAUGGGUUGUAAACCUCUUUUGUCGGGGAGCAAAAGCCGGACGUGUCCGGCUGUGAGAGUACCCGAAGAAAAAGCAUCGGCUAACUCCGUGCCAGCAGCCGCGGUAAUACGGAGGAUGCGAGCGUUAUCCGGAUUUAUUGGGUUUAAAGGGUGCGCAGGCGGAUUUUUGAGUCAGCGGUAAAAUCGUGGGGCUCAACCCCAUCCAGCCGUUGAAACUGGGGAUCUAGAGUGUGCGAGAGGUAUGCGGAAUGCGUGGUGUAGCGGUGAAAUGCAUAGAUAUCACGCAGAACCCCGAUUGCGAAGGCAGCAUACCGGUGCACAACUGACGCUCAGGCACGAAAGCGUGGGUAUCGAACAGGAUUAGAUACCCGAGUAGUC